GAUGAACGCUGGCGGCGUGCCUAAUACAUGCAAGUCGAGCGAACAGACGAGGAGCUUGCUCCUCUGAUGUUAGCGGCGGACGGGUGAGUAACACGUGGAUAACCUACCUAUAAGACUGGGAUAACUUCGGGAAACCGGAGCUAAUACCGGAUAACAUGUUGAACCGCAUGGUUCAACAGUGAAAGAAGGUCUUGCUGUCACUUAUAGAUUGAUCCGCGCCGCAUUAGCUAGUUGGUAAGGUAACGGCUUACCAAGGCAACGAUGCGUAGCCGACCUGAGAGGGUGAUCGGCCACACUGGAACUGAGACACGGUCCAGACUCCUACGGGAGGCAGCAGUAGGGAAUCUUCCGCAAUGGGCGAAAGCCUGACGUGGCAACGCCGCGUGAGUGAAGAAGGUCUUCGGAUCGUAAAACUCUGUUAUUAGGGAAGAACAAAUGUGUAAGUAACUAUGCACGUCUUGACGGUGCCUAAUCAGAAAGCCACGGCUGACUACGUG
rnacentral:rRNA from 1 species